UAAAAUGCGGCUCUAACUUCAUAUUCAAGUUUUCAUAUUAGAAUUUAUCAUUUAUGAUCCUUGACUUGAUCAAUAUUAAAUUAAUUUAAAAUAAGUUAAUAGACUUAGAUUUUAUUUUAGCUUUCAAAUCAAUCAAUUAUAUCCCUGUCAUUAUGUCUUUCCAUUCAAAAGAAAAUGAGAUGGAAUGUUUAAUUUUUCAUGAUUGCAUAACGAAAAGCAAGCCUUACAGUCAGCAAUUGAAAAGUAGGGAUUCUCGUGAUUGUUAAGCAGCUUCUUUUCUCAAACAUCCAGGAAUCUCAUUUGUUCUUCUGAAAACCAUUUGCUCGAGUGAUGCUUUCUCAAGAUUAUACUAUUUAACUAAAAAAAUCUUUGUAUCUGGGAAAAAUUGUUAAUGUGUUUUCAAUGAUUAUAAAAUAUAAUAUUUCAUAUUUCUAGAGGUGGCUGCUACUCGGGUCAAUGCAAUUGCACGCAUUAUGGAGUCAAUAUUUGCUAGCUAAUACAAAAUAAGCUUUUAUAUUUCCAUAUUUUUCUGUUUGGAUUUUUGUUUAAAAUCAUGGGGGAAGAUAAAUUUCAUCCACUGAGCAAGCAUUUGUGCUAAGACAUUGGAGCCCACUAGGUACAGACCUGAGAACAAUCACAGAAAAUGUUAGCUCCGCUUACAGACCUGUGUCCACACCUUCACAAAUGUCAACAUCCAUGUUUACUUAUCCCUAUAGCAGUUGAGAGCAGCCAGUGUAAAGCUCCGAUAUUUCUAACACUCUUCUUUCCAGUGUGCGUAGUGGGUGUUUGCAGGUGUGAUAUGCUUCUCAAUAAGGCUACUAUGGCUAAUAGAAGAGAGAGUCUGCACCCUCAUCUGAAAGAGAACAGAGCUCCAGGAUUCCUUGUCGCUUCUUCCUAAAAUUCCUUGUCGCAUCUAGUCCAUCUAGGACAUUUUGGCAACAGAAUUACUCUUCCAGUUUCCCUUUUAAAACUCACUCCCAUUGUCUUUGUUCUGCCUCUUGAAGCCCAAUAAUGUAUGUGUGUGUAUACACAUACAUGUAUAUGUAUAUACAUAUAUGUAUAUGUACACACACACACACACACACACACACACACACACACACAAACAUGUAUAUUUAAAUUCAAGGAUGUGCCUGGUCUUUCAGAGCUGUGACCACCUUUGUUCUUGCCCUUGAGGGAAGGUCGCGUGUAUCUGUUUCUAACAUUGCACAGAAACAGUGGCUUCUUCAUGAAAGAAACUGCAGAGAGGAAGAACGUUAAUUAGCCGAAGCAUUGUUCCAGAUGCCUCAUUAAGUUUCUUCUGUAAUCACAGAUUUAAAGGUUCCAUGUGAUCAAGGUGAUACACUAACUUAAAGACAGGCUAGAGAGAAUUAGGACUUCAUUCCUGGCUUUUGUGGCAAUACCAUCCUGACCAUUCCUCACAAAGUGUUCAACUUCUUUUUUUAAUUAGUUAAUUAAUUUAUUUACUUUAUGUCCUUAUCACAACUUUCCCUCCCUGUUCUCCUCCAAGUCCCCCACCUCUAUCUACUCCUCCUCUCUUUCUCUUUAGAAAAUGGGAGGCCUCCCAUAGACAUCAACCAGCCUUGGCACAUCGAGUUGCAGUAAAACUGGGUGUAUCUUCUCCUAUUGAGGCUAGAAGAGGCAGCCCAGUAGGAGCAGAAUUUCACAAAGGAAAUCAACAGAACCACAAACAGGAGUCUCACAUGAAGACCAAGAUGCACAGAAGCCCUCUGUGCAGAGGGCUUAGUUAGGUCAGUCUUACCUAGGCUCCCUGGUUGCUGGUUCAGUCUCUGUGAGCACCUAUGGGCCCAGGUUGGUUGAUUGUGGUGUCCUUGACCCCUGUGGCUCCUUCAAUCUGUUAUCUGCCUAACACCAGCUAGUUGCUGAUUGAAUCCUAUCUAAUAACGGUUGUGCUCUUGUUUGCAAGUGUAGCAAAAUAUCAUUAGCAAUGUCGGGGUGGACUCCUUCUUAAUAGAAUUUUCUCAAGAAGUAGAAACCAUUUUAAGGUGAACACAUCUUUGAUGGGAGACAGCAAUCAGUAGGGUGUUGAGGAAACGCCUCUCACUGAUGAGGUAACUAGCCCCAUGUGUUCAUAGUAUGUCUACCUGCCUGUUGUCGGGAUGAAAUAAAAUCAAGACUACAAGACGGAGCCAAGCUUGCAGGUGGGGAAAUUGUGAAUAUCUUGUCAUUUAAAUAUACAUCAAGCUUUUUGAGAAUUCUCUCUUUUUAGGGUAAAUUUCAGUAUAGGGGACAGUUUUGACAUAGACCUUAAGCACAAAGUUUGAGUCAAAGAGAGAAAUACAGGACACACCCAAGGACGGGCACUGACUUGCCAAGGGAGAGUUCCAGGGAAUCUGUCUUGUAAAGACAGUAAGUGUUCCUAGAUCAACACAGACAUUUUGUCAGUUUCUUCAUGAGUAUCUGCACAGUAAGUGUGCAACACCAGCACACUCAGAUGUGUCUUUAGACUCUAAAGUACCCUGAAUGUCAGUGACCUUUGCUGUUUCUGAACUCACAGACGGCCAUGUUCUACCCAUUCUCUUCAGAACCUGCAUUCUGUUUUUUAGAUGAGUCUGUGCCCUCCUUAUCUACUACCGAAUCUGUCUCUCCACUGAAGAAGAGAAGAAUUUGGCCCUAAUCAUGUUCAACAUACCCCUGCCUUAUUUCACUAAUGAGAAGGAAAACAAACAACAACAAAAAAAAAACUAUAGGAAAAACAAAACAAAACACCCACGGCUAUGCAAAAAUAACACCCGUUAGAGAGGAAUACACAAAAGGCCUCAUUUUUGCUUGGCUGUUUAAAUCAUUGUUUAAAGAAUUUGGGGCUGGGUAAAUGGUUCAGUGGUGAAGAAAACGUACUGCUCUUGAGAAAAAUGGUGAUUAGUUCCGGUAUCCUCAGGAAACCAAACAUCCUCCUAUAGCCUCCUUUCCAACUGUGCACUCACAUGUGUACUACACACCUAUACACACACACACACACACACACACACAUACACACACACAGAAAGAGAGAGAGAGAACAUUCACAUAAGUAAAAAUAGAAUAAAUUUAUUUUUUCAUUAGAUUUAAAUUUUCACAGUUUUUAAUCAACAUAGGAAGUUAUUUCCUAUAACCAGAAAUGAUAACUUGCUCAUGCUUAUGAAGCUGUACAUCCAGGUAAAGACUGUAGGAGAGUAAUCCAGGCAGCUGGCUAUCUCAUUCUGAAGGUAGUUUCCAUUUUUAACUAUUGUUUGCCUCAUUGCUUAAUCGAAAUGACCUGCUUUGUAGAUGUGGUCAACACACAAAAAACCUUACAUGGUUCAAAUUUCAGAGCGAAUUGUUUUUCAAAGCUUUUGGCUAAUUUUGCCUAAACUAAGUUUAUCAUGGCCUGCGUGGCUAAGGCUGUGGGAUAAAAGUUCAAUUUUCUGAGUUACUGAGGUGGCUCAGUGGAUAAAAAUGUUUGGCCUGCAAGCAUGAGGACCUGAGAUAAAGUCCCCAAACCAGUCAUGGCCACACGUGACCAUAACCCCAGCAAGGCAGCAAGUGGCAGAUGGGCAGGUAGAUCCUGAAUGCUGGCUGGCCAGCAAUCCUAGAUGGAACACACAGCUAACAGUUCAGUGAAAGACCUCGCCUCAAGGGAAUAAAAUGGCGAAUAGUUGAAGAAGACACCUGAUAGCCUUCUCUGGCCUUGUCAUGACUGUGCAUUGUGCAAGAACCCAUAAACUCAUAUUCAUGAGCCAUGAACAUGUGCACACACAUACACGCACAUACACACAUGCAUGCAUGCACAAACGCAUGCGCACACACACACACACACACACACACACACACACACACACACACACACCAGUUCUAAGGUCUGAGGCAAUGAGAUGAUACUUCGUGAAUGAAGGCGUUCGCCACCAAGUCAAUUCCUAAGUGCCAAAGGUAAAAAGAGAGCACUGAGUUUUGAAAAUCAUCUGCUGACCUCUACUGCAGCUGGGGUGUUUACACAUACAGAAACAAAUAAAUGAGCGUAAUUUAAAAUUUAACUGUGAGAAAUUCUCAGAGCUUGUUGGCAUUCUGAUUGUGACUCGGGCUAUGCUUUCAUUUGAGAUACUAUUUUGCCUAAGCCAGGAAUAAAUUCUACAAGAAUAAUAUAAAUUGGUAUCAUUUGCUGCAAUUUUUGAAAAGGAACUCAAAGCAUGUAUAUGCCCUCGACACUAGCUUUGAGAGCACAGAACCUAUUCUUACAACAUAGACACAAAAGCCAAAGCUAAAUUUGGAUAUGUGGUAUUGUAAGAUUAUGUGGACAAAAUACAAAGAGUCAAAUACUUGAUGGGAUUAUUUAUCUAGUUGCCCUGACUUUUUUACUAAUCCAGCUCUUUCAUAAGAAAUAUAGGAAAAAAAUUAUUGUGCUUCUUUUACAUAAAAAAUCUACUGGGUGAGUAAUAUUUCUGUCCGAAAAACCCACUUGCUUCAAUGUUGUGGUGUUCUUGAUAUUAAAAGACAACAUAGCAUAAAGUAUGAAGAGUAAUUUAGGUGUGCAAAGCUUCUCACGAAUUAUAGUUUGGAAAGAGCAAUGUCAGAGGUUUGCUAAGAUGCAGAGAUGACAUUUGUUAAAUACAUAUAGUUCCCAAUUUUCUAGCCUUUCAGACCCAAUUAACUAUUAAGCAAAGAGCAGUACUGGAGGGCCAGAGAAUGGAGCCACAGCUGAGAAAAUGUGUUUCAUAAAGAAAUUGCAGGCUCUUCAUUGAUAAUAUUAAAUCAUCUCUGUCAUUAGACAUGGUUUAUUCAUCCAUGUAUUUUUUUAAAGUUGCUUGUAUAAAGAAGUGUUAUAUUUUUGUCUAUCCAAAAGGUGACAUUCACUGUUACAUAGUAGCAAAGUCUGGAACAUGUGCUUUGCAAGCCCAGUCCCUCACUGCUGACUUUAGACUGGGCUUUUAUGCUCCUUGGAAAUGUUCCAACCUGACAAUAACCAUUCCAAUUUGAAACACUGGCACACGUUGAAUACAUAGACAUUCUGGGUUUAAAAAUUAAUAGAAGGAGCAGAAGAGCCAGAAGCUGGGCAAUCCAGCCAGACCAGUGCCUACGGUGCCCCACCCAGCCACUCCCUGCUGGGAGACCAGAUGUCUGUGGCUCAUGUUCUCACCAAGGGCCAUGCAGAUGCCCACGGUCUGUGCUGCAGCCUGAAGUCAUGAUGAUGUCUGGAGUCUAUGCUGCCACAGGGGCCAUAUUGAUGCACGAUGGCCUGUGCUGAUGCCUGAGGCCAUGUUGAGGCCAUGGUCUGGGCAAUCUCUGGGUCCUCAGAUCCUACUGCAGCAGGGCACUGUGACCAUGGUCUGUGAAGGCCCAUAAUCUGUGAUCUGUGUUCCUGUUGACUUUAAAGAGCAAGAAGGCUAACUUUGUUGUGAUAUCAAAGACUGCAAGAAGCACAGUUGAGAGGGAGGGGCUUGGAUGGCUUCUCUGACAACCCCUACCCCAAUCCCACCCCACCCCCAUAACUAACAGCCUAAACAAGAAACCACCGAAGAGAACUCUUAAAAAGUACAACAGGGAUGCUGAAGUUAGCUCUCCACAAUAGAUGGCUUCUGUCAGAAAUGUGGGAGAGGAAGAACUCAGUUCUAUCUAAGGGGCAGGCCACUCAGAGUUUGACCAUCCUCCAGUAAGUACAGAUAACACAAAGUAGACUUGGUUUUAAUUCUUAUUUUUAAUUUUUAGUUCUUUUGGAUGAGGGGAGGUCACAACAGGGUGGCAGACAUAGAAGUUGAUUGUGAUCAGAUGCCUGAUGUGAGACUCACAAAAUACCAACAAAAAUUUUAUGAGGAGAAAAUUAAUAAUAACUACAAAAAUAGGUGGACAAAUAGUGCAUAAAAUCUGUCAUUGACAUGUGAACAACAUGUUUUGUUUCUUGUACAUUAUUUGAAGAAAGCAAAUUUUCAAACAGCUUCAUCCUUGAUGUGAUCCUCCUGUAUGCUAUCCUUGGUUUAUAGUGAUUUCUAGGAUUCCUACACAAGAUCAAAAGUUAAAUCCUCAGGAAUAUAAGGAAUAACCAGCUAGCCCUAGGUUUACUUAUCAGUGACUGACGGUGAACCCUCAGAGCUAGCUCUGCACGUACUUCUGAAUAAACUAUCAUUUUUUAAAGCCCACUUUUAUAUUUGUCUUUCAGUAUUUUGGAAUCCUUUCUGUGUGUCAUUCUCCCUUUUAGAACCAUUAUUUUAACAUGAUUCCUCAGCAUCAGAUUUGAAAAUCCUCAUUACCCUAACCUACAUGCUUUCACUUAUUUGUAAUAUGAAACCUGAUCAUACCCAUCUCUCCUGAACUCCCUCAAGUUUGCCUCAACAUGGCCCCUUCCCAACUUCAUGACCUCUUUGUUAUGUAAUAACUCACAAAGUUCACUCUCUGGUGCCCAUGUAGAGUGAGGCUGUCUGCUCGUACAUGGAAGUGAGGUCAUCUGUUGGUGCAUGGGAAAUCUACCAGUAGCCACGUAGUCAAAAAAGUGAUUCUCCUUUCUUAGGUGGCAACUAGCAAUGGCCAAUGGUUGUUCAAUAAGGUGGGGCCUGGUUUCCUUGCCAGAUCAUCUGAAGAGAACGAAUAUGAUCAUACCUCUUCACACACCAAAGUAAUGAGGAUACCAGCAUGUUGGCUUUGAUGGAAGGGUUACACCAGGAAAGUUGACUGGUACACUUGUAGGGUAAUAUAUAUCAGAGCCUAGGUACCCCCAGCACUUGGCAAAUCUAAUUAAGUCAAAGUCAUUAAGUUAGAACUUGAAGCCAAACUUGUGGACCACAGCUAACCUCCCCAAGAUUCUAGCUCUGAUGAAAUUCAUAAGUGGAUUUUUUUUUACUUAUAUCCAACCCAAGUAGUGAAGAUUGAUGUAAACAAAGUCUCAUGUUUAACCACCUUCUAGCACUAAGACACCAGUUCUCUGCUUUGAUCACUCACGGCAAUCUAUCGCCAAAGGCUUGCUUUGUUCAAGCUGCUUUCCUCAUGAGCCAGUUUUCUAAACUGCAUUAACAUAUCCCAUUUUUAAGAAAAUAACCUGCUCUCUGUGGGUUUGUGGCUUAAGUACAGUAUAUAUUGUUGAAUGAAGUAGAGCCUUUUAGAUACAUAUUCCCACCCUCAAAAUAGAAGACUUAUACUUGAACUGUUUGUUCAAAAAGUCGUGGAGAGUCUAAAUUUUAAACAAACUUCCUUUUCCAGCCAAUCUAAUUUAUGAUAGAGAAUGCAUAAUGUCACAGCUGUGCAGAGUUAUUUUGUAAAUACCUUAAGUUUUAGUGCACAGCAUUGCAUUUAAAGGACGUGUUUAUGCAAAUUGGACAAAUAUGAAAUGAUAAGUAAUUAAUGUGAGAGGAAUUGCAAUGUGCUGACACACAGUUGUCUAUGAAAGAAUCCUUGUGAAACCCAGCCCCGAAACACACGAAGACUCACAAGCCUGGCAUCUGAUUUGGAUUGCUACUGUGGCGAGCAGAGCAGAACAUAUUUGCAUGCCCUUGAGAUUUGCACCAUGAUUUGUUUAGGUGUCAGGGGAGAAAUGUCUUCAACUACAACAGGAGAGAUUUCACCGUGAUGCCAUGAGCCUCGUUACCUGAGACAGUGUUGCCUGUGUUGACACUUGAGUAUCCAGUCCUUGUUCUCAGAAAAUGAAAUGAAGUUUCUUAAUUUGUGCUAACCAAAAUCACAUGGAGCUUUAAUUUUAAGUUAGUCUGUUAAAAUUAAUAAAGAAAUAAAGAAAUAAAUAAUCCUCCAUGGAAUUUCCAAUUAAAGUGAAAUGUAACUCAAACAAAAAUAAACAUUCAUACCAUAUCUGGAUCACACCUGUCAUCCCAGCACUUGAGAAUUGACAAAGAAAAAAUGCAAAUGGGAGGCAAACCUGGACUACGUAGCAAGAUCUUGUCUAAAAUAGAACUAAGGAAUAAAAAAUAAAGCAUAGAAAUUCAAAGUGUACUUUAGCUAAACGAUCUUAUCAAGACAGCAGGGAAUGAGACAGGUCUCAAGAAAACUGCUGGACUUGACUUUAAUAAGGAAGGUGUAUCAAGGUGCUUCUUGUAUUUGCAUCUCGGUCAAUAUUAUAAUGUAUACAAAAUAAAGUACUGAUGUAUAUUUAUGGGGGUACAUCAUACACUUUGUUCUGGCAGGAUCUGGGCAUGGAGCAUUCAAGGUAAAGAUGCAUUUGGGGUUAGUUAAAAGUGUAAUCCAUGCAAACAAAGACUGCAAACUGCCCACAGACAUACAAUACCCAUGAUCCUUAGGCUUCCUCUACACAAGUCUUGAGUUAUAACUGAUUUUCCCACAGGGAUAAAAAUGAGGUUAUGUUUCUAACCAAGAAACAGAUGCCUAGUUUUUUAAAAAAAAAUACAAGUGGCCACAAACAAUUUAAUCAACAGUAAAUGAUACAUUUGUAUAAUGCAUAGCUUAAAACCUUUUAAGGUCAAUGUCUGUCAUUGGAGCUGAGCGAGACAGAAAUCAAUCACAUAAAAUGUCCUGUUAUUUUUACGGAGAGUCCCAAGAUAAGAGGAUUUCAGGACAGCAGAAAAGCCAUGAGACUCUCUGGAGACAUAAAGCACCUGAAGCCUGCUUAUCCCUGAAGUGAGGUUAUGAUGUUAGUGGCAGCUGGGAAAAUGCUGAAGAGGCCUAGCCUUUGUGAGAGAGAGAAAUGAGAGAUUCUAAAGUGGAGGAGGUGCCCAUUGUGAAGACAGAUUCAUGUCACAAAGUCCUUAUAAGACCCUAGAGGGGUGGUGCCCAUCGUGGGGACAGAUCCACUUUCACAGGGUCCUUGAAAGACCCUAGAGGUAUUCGGUGCAUAUUCUUUAAAAAUAUAUACCUUCCUGUAUAUAUAUCAAUAAACAAAGAAUAUAUCAUAUUCAACUUGGAUGUCAGGGCUUCAGAACUGGCUUGGAGGAGAUAUGUGGAAAAGUUCAAAACUGUGAGAUGAGCAAAGCCCAAGAAUUUUUUAAACAAAGCUUACUGAAUCCAUCUUGUGGAAGUUCAGAGGACCAGAAGUGCAAAAAAAAAAAAGUCAACAACUGAGGCCAAGGAUCGUGAGAUUUCUGGGAGUAAUGACUUUAUUGAAAACUGGGCUAGACGCAAUUUUCAUGCAAAGAAUUUAUCUACAUUCUGCCUAUCUCCUAAAAAUGUUAAUGAAGAUAAAUUCAAAAGCAGCAGACUACAUCAUUUGGCAGAGGAAAUUUCAAUAAAGUGUAGCACGCAGUCUGUGGAAUGGUUACUGCUCAUUACUCUUAUGCCCGCCUACAGUGAAAGAGCAGAAAGUAGAAUGAAAAAACAUGAAUGGGCGUGGAAAAGUUUGAAGAUGCAGAGAAGGUGUGUCUGGUGAGACAGGAGUAAUCAUUAAAGGUGAUAUGUGUUGACGAUAAAAUCUCACUCUCUAAAGGCACCAAUUAUUAAAAAUGCAAACUCACUUGAAAUGAGAGAGCCUGAGAUAAGAAAGGCAUCGAAGUGUCCUCAGAUGGAGAAAACAUCUUGGAAAGGUUUUUACCAGGUUCAGACACUUGACACACACAAGCCAAUAAAGCUCUAGUAGGAAUAAAACCGACUACAUCUCGAACUGGCAAGAGAAAGUGUCAACAUAGCCCAUAUAAACCUUGUUUUGUAAAAAUGCAAAAUACAAGAAUGAGGGGUCCUGGAGACCUAUAUCAAUGUCCUAGAAAGGUUUUUGAAGCCAAGUACUGCGUGAUAAGGGUUGACACCCUAAAAGCAGGCUCUCAGAUUUCAUGGUGUGGAGUAGUGACGGUGAGGUCUAAGAUACAGUAGGAUUCCAACAUCCUGGAAAGGCUAGGAUUGUGGGACAUCAGAAGGAAUCCACAGCUGAGUAGUAAAUAGGACCAACACAAGACAGAGGCUGGGGGAGAUAGAGUCGGUAGACCUGGAGAGCUGGGAAUACCCAAGGCUGUUGGAGCCCAGAUGAUGUCCUCAGCAGCUACAGAUGCUAGGCAUGGAGCUUCGGGAUUUGUUUGUUCUUUUGGGUUUUGGUCUUGCUUUGUCUUAAUCUUUUCUUUCUAUUGCACAUUCUUACCUGUUGUAAUGAAAAUAUGUAUUCAAUGCUAGUAUAGAUUAGAAGUGUGUAGCUUGCUUUUUUGCUUUUUGUUACUGGGUCUCACAUAACUAAAAAGUUUGAUUUGCUUCUCAGAUGAGAAGAUAUACAUUGGCCUUUGAAAUAGUUAUGGAAACUGUUAAAAAAAAAACACAAUGGGAGCUUUUGAAAUUAGAAUGAAAGCAUUGUAUAAGAUGAUCAUAAGCCCACAGGGUUGGGAGACAGAAUAUUAUAAAUUAAAGUGGUGUGUUUGGGUAUCAGGUUAACAGGUGCUGGACUUAUGGUGAUUAAUUAACAGGUGGGCUUAUGGUGAUUAAUCAUUUUUAUCAAACUGAUUAGAUUCAGAAUCAUCUAGGAGAUAUAACUUUGUAUAUGCUUUUGAGAGCAUCUCCAGAAAGUUUCAUUGAGCAGGGAAGAUCGACCUUAAAAAUGAAGACGUCCAAAUUCAGGUUGGAAAAGUUCUUCAUUUAGUCAUUCACUUAUUGAAUGAGUUCAGUGAAUGAGGGGAGAGGUUCGAUUCCCAGUACGGCAUGUAAGUCCAGGAACAUCUGGAGCCUCUGACUCCCCAGGUACCUGGACUCACAGGAAUGUACCCACAUGCACACAGAGACAUGCAAACACACAAACACAGACACAGAAACAUAAUAAAAAUAGGGCAGGAAAGACAGCUUGGCAAAUUAGAGCACUUGCUUCCCUUGUGGAAAACCACAGUUCCCUGCCCAACACCCACCCACAUGAAGGCUUGCGACAAUCUGGAAUUCAGGGGAUUUGGCAUCUGUCUCAGGCCUCUCUGAGUACUGCAUACACACAGUGCACAGAUAUGCAUGUAGGCAAAACAAUUAUACACAUAAAAUGAAAAGAAAUAAACCUUAAAUAGUGAAACUGAUAAUUUUCAAUUUUUGAAUAAUGUGGACAUAAAUCCAUGUAAAACGUAUUAUUUGCACACAGAUGUACUCUGGAACAGGCGUCCAUGCUACUGAAAACGGGAGAACAGAGUGGGCAGUGAUUUGGGAUGGUGGUCUGGGGUGGAAAGAGAUUGCAGCAGACCUCUUGCAUGUUGUCACCCAGGGCAGGAUCCCGUACUGCAGUCCUGGGAGCCGCAGUCAGGCGGCUCAUUCGACACUGAUGUCAAAGCCUCCAAAUUUGAGGAAAUAGUAGGUCCUCUUUGCAAAGGAAUGUUCAGAUCUUGUAUUCAUUGCAAAGUGACCCUAUUAAGAGUUUGUAUUCCAUUUCCAGUGUCACAGUCAGCCAGGCCUGCUCCCCAGCAGAACAGUGGAAGUCAUUGUGCUCAAGAAGAACAGCUGUGCACUGACUUCCCAGAAACCGUACAGGCAUUUGUAAAUGAUCAAGGGACAGCAACGUGUCCUUAAUAGGCGUGUUUGCACACUCUCUGCUGUAUGAUUUUAAACAUAUUUCACAUCGAAAACUAUGUAACUCAUCUUGAAUCCAAAUGUAAGUGUGUUUGUUGUUCUGUAAAAUACUAAAUAUAUGACACUGUUAAAAAUCAUUAUAAUGUUUUAGCUAAAAUAGUUGUGAGGUUUAAUACUCAAACGAUAAAAAGAUAUGAAAUGAAAUUAAUAAAAAUAUGUCUAGCUAUUGAACAUGUUAGGAAUCCAUUACCUUCUUUGUUUAACUCAGUGAAAAGAUACAGAAUACUUUUUUAAGGGAAAUUAUAAUCUCAUUCCUAGAAUUCACUUUAUUUUUCCAAUGUUUAUCUAAAAAGCCAACGAAAACCAAAUUUCCUCCCCUGUAUGAUGAGACAAAUCAAAGGAAAACAAAUUGAUUAACUUUUCAAAUUCUUAGCAGAAAUCUUAAAGAAUACCCUUCUAAGCUUGGAUUCAUGGCAUAAUACAUUAACAUCAUGCGCUUGGUUUUUAAAUUAUGGCUGCAAUAUUCAAAUUCUACUAAAUAUCUCAGAAGGCAUUGUGUAUUCUUGCCUUGUAACAGUUUUAUUAGUAGAAGAUGAAGUCUUUGAGUGAUUACAAAAAUUAAAAGCUAAAUGACCCUGAAACAUAAACUUUAUUAUCCUUUAUUUUAAAGUAAUAUAUAAGAUUUGGUCACAGAAAUAUAUGAAACAAAGAGAUGCCUCUGCCAGUUUUAAAUCUUUUAUUUUUUGAAAGCCUCUGUGUUGUGUUAGUUUAAACACUGGAAGAUCUGGUACAGGAUAAGUCAGAAAUCAAAUGAAAUUUAAUAUUGUCACUCCUGAGAGAAUGUCAAAGGAAGAGCUUUGUCCUGGCUGUAAAGAUUUGCAUAAAAGAUGACAGACAGGAGGAAACACGACUCGUAUUUACUGAUGGAAAUGAAAAUGCCAAGGUCAACAUGUGACUCAUGUAGAAUUUUAAAAACCAUUUCACUUCAGAAUCUAGAUAAGAACACAGUACAAAGCCUUAAGUGAUACCGCUUCAGUCUCCUUUGAUGUUGAGUUUAUAUAGAAAAAACAAAGAGAACAAAUGUGCCCUAAACAUGCAAGUGGUCUUGAGCAGAGGGACAGAGGGACCCAAAACUAAUAUUCAGCUCAGCGCUCUCAAACAAGUAAAGACAGGGCAACUGCUGAGCGACUCACUUCCCUUCCAGCGUCCGAUGUCCGGGAGACCUGCCACGGGCAGCACCGUGCAUCCAGUUAACAAUUGUACAGUGAAGUCCCAUUUCAGGGUGGUUUCCACAUUCGAUGUUCUUACCUGAACCAAAACUGAAUGCCCAAGUUUUAUCUGACAUGUGAACCGCUCUCAGGUACAUUCCGGAGAACCGAACAGGCUGCCAAAUCUGCCCUCAGAUGUUAUUAGAGAUUUGGGACAUGCUGGUCCCACACAUGCAUGUGGGGGAGGGUUAACAGCAUUUGCUGUGUCCAAAAUGGACAGAGGUUAAUGAUAUCAAGAGAUAAGGCUUUCUGUUUUUCUCACAUUUUCACUUAUUUGAAAAUAUCCUUAUUAAAAUAUUAGAAGUAUUAAAGUAAAGUGAUGCAGAAAACAUGCUUCUGUGACCUCUCCUCUGGAGUGCUGUGAUGCAGGGACUGUAUUUCAUUUUAUUGGGCAGGGCAAGCAGACCUGUCAGACAAGCAGAGAGGCAAGCAGGAUUUCUGUUUAAUGUUCCACCUUUCUUUUCUCUUUAUAAUUGGAGACAAGGGAGAGAUUAAAGUCUACUUAUUCUCAGCCUGGGACACACAUGCAGGUGAGUUCGCGAAGAACUAGUGCUCAGAAUCACUGUUAUCAGAAAACUUAAAAAUCAAACCAAAGUGAGAGACCACACCCUCCCCACAUUAGAAAAUCUAUUAUCCAAAACACAGGCAAUGGGACACCACAAAGAUACACAGUGAGGGAACACUGGGUCUGUGUUGUCUGGGUGACCAGACUGGUACAGCACCCUGGAAAACAGAUCACACCAAGAACCACUGCGUGUUCCAAAAACCCACAACUGAUGGCUAUGUGCAACGGUACCCAAUUAAUGUUAUUCAAAUGGAUCCCUAUGAUGUCAGCACGACAGUGGCGAAGCGUUCCUCUGCCACCCACCCCAGUGUUCUGGGCUCCUGAAUGAAAGACACAUACACAAAAGCCUUUAUAUUUUUAUAAGCCUUAAACAGUACAAUGGCUGGGCCACUUCCAAGCCUCCACGUGGCUAAUCUACCUCCCUCCGAUAUUGCCAAGUUAUUACUUAGUAAGAUCUAUAUUCCCUUUGUUGCCCUAGACCCAGUGUGGGGCCCUCUUGGUCCUGUUCUUCCCUAGCUCUUACAUAGCAGUUAUGCUCCCUGUCCCUUACCUCCAUGGGUAUGGUGUCUUUUUUCUUCCUUUUCCUGUCUGUCCCUAGCCCAGGAAUCCUAAAAUCCCACCUCUGUCUCUCCUGCAAAGCUAUUGGCUGUUGGCAUCUUUCUUUAUGAAGCAAAACCAACUGGGGACAGGGGCCUUCAGUGUCUUACAUGUGGGACACUACAAACAGGUUUUGGGGAAACAUAAUUAAUAUGAGGAUACAAACAGCUACGGAUAUACAAAAAGCCCAAACCAGUGUUCAUAGACACUCCCCAAACCAUGUAAGCUUUGUCUAAUUUAAAACAACUUUCCUCAGUAGGCUCCUGUUUUCCAUUUGUCCUUAUCUAGCUGCUGGUUAUACAUAGGGUACCGUGUUAGCUAGACUCUUCUGAUAAGGUAGGAUCUGAAAGAACCCCUGACAGGUUUGAAGAUGCUAACCAUGAGUAUAUUUGAAAGAAGAGGAACCAUCAAAAGCAAAGGCUUCAGGCAGGACAGACUUGGUUGACCAAAGUAAAGUGUGAUGAGAGUGUGGUGAGCACAGCAAACGCAUGGCAGGACCUAGCUUAUGUAACUGUAUAUGGAGUUCAGGCUUUAUGUUGUCUGCGAAGGGAAAUCACUAGAGAAUUUUAAACAGGGGGAUGGGGUAAUUUUUCUUCUUAAAAUUCUGAGACUUGGAAGAUACUUUUAGAAAAGAAAUAGGGAAGAAGAUACCAUUCAGAAAGCUGUUAAAGUAAGCCAUUAGAAAAUGAAAUGGUCUGGACCAAAGGGAGUUCAGUAGAAAUAAUGAGAUGCUAUCAAAGUUAGAAUAGGUUUUUGAAGUAGCAGUGGAUCAGAUCAGGGACAGGUUAGGGAGAAGGGACAAAGGCUUGGACAAGGCAGUGUUGUUAUUAGCUGAGGUGCAUUUGGAUAUGAGAGGACCAAUGUUACCAGGGAGGGCUGGGACUGGGGCUAGAAGGAACUUUCUAUUUGUAUAUUAUAAAUGUGAGACGACUAUUACCUAUCAAGAAAAGAAGCAUUUUCAGUAUUCCUGAAAUCAUCUAGACCAAUGGCCCUCAACCUUCCUAAUGCUGGGACUCUCUACCCCAUGAUGUGGUGACCCCCAUAAACCUAUUUUCAUUGCUACUUUCUACAGUAAUUUUGCUACUUUUAUGAACCAUACUGUAAAUGUCUGUGGUACACAGCACCUAUGGGUGUCCCAAGCCACAGGUUGAGAACCACAGAACUAGGCAAAGACUAAUGGUGGUAAGAACCAAAGAAGGAUUCUUUCUUUCUUUUUCUUUUCUUUUCUUUUCUUUUCUUUUCUUUUUUUUUCGGGGCAGGGGACUGAACCCAGGGCCUUGCGCUUGCUAGGCAAGUGCUCUACCACUGAGCUAAAUCCCCAACCCCCCAAAGAAGGAUUCGAGGGAAAGGAAGAAGUGAAUGAAAUAGAAAACUCAUUGAAGAAUAACAACCAGAUACUUGUCAUGUGAGGGAACAAUUUAUGGUGUCCAACUAUUUGAGUGUGGAAACACUGAGAUGUGUGCCAGUUUGGAAGGGACAAGGGAGACUUUGCACUUGAGACAUUUAGGGAAUUUGGAAGCCACCGUUUUAACUUCAUCGUCAUCAAUGCCUAUAGAAUACGUGAUUACCCUGAACAGUGUAAGGCAAAGAUCAGGAUAUUUCACAUUAAAAGAAAAAGUCUGGCAUGCAUUAUGUUGUUUGCAAAGCAGUGGUGAAAACAAAAUAGAAAAUAAAUAGGAAAGGAAGGAAGGAAGCAAGCAAGAGAAAGAAAGAAGAAAGAAAGAAAGAAAGAAAGAAAGAAACAAACAAACAAACAAACAAACAAAGGUAGACAGACAAAAACUGCAAAGUCCAAACUCUCCUGAACCAAGAACAUUUUUAAUCAGGUACAGUACCUUCCCAGCCACUGAUAGCAUUAGAUGUGAGUGCAAGUUUCAUGGACAACUCAAAGCUGCCCACAAGGAGGAUAAAGGACUCAGAAUUGAGACAUUGCUCUGGGAGCAUACAGUCCACAGGUUGGCAAAAAGGUCAGACACCUGUGCUCCCCAUUACAAUUUAGACUGUGUUAUUAGACAGUCAUAAGCAAUAAAAGACAGAAUGACAAGCCACAGCUUUAGAAGCAAGCCACUCUGGUGGACUGACAGCUGUGUGCUGGGCUAAUUUGAGAAGCCUAGUGCUUCCAAUGCUGAAGUCCCAGUCACGCAACUGCCUUGAGACUAUAGACGCUCCCAUGUCUUUGAGGAAUUCCCAGGAUUAUUUGGGGCUAAUUUUUCAUUUAACAAAUGAACUAGAUACAACCCUGAGAGGUUCAUUUCAUAAAGGUCAGAUAACCACUUUGGGGAAAAGUCUGUGGUAAUACUGAAACACUCCUGCUGCCCCUGUUACUAUGUACUGAGCCCUUUUGAAAAGAAAUGAAACCAAUUUCACAUCUGCCCUUUGGAUGUCAUGAAGUUCUGUCUAUUCCUGGAGGGAGUCAAGAGCAAAGGUUAGGAGAGCAAGCUGUACUCUUAAACUAUCAGGACAGAAUCCUUGUUCAGCCCCUUAAGGUCAUAUGACCUUAACCCCACUCAGCUUGUUCACCUUAGAUGUGAUAUAGAAACCAUGAUAGUUUUCUCAUGGAGUAGUUAUGAAGGAAAAGUGACCUGACAGUGACAAAGAGAAGCUAAUAUCUAGGUCACGGUAGUGUCACAGUAAAGGUUAGCAAUAGGUGCUUAUUUUAUAUAAUCUGUAUUUUAGUAUUUAGCAGGGAAACUUUAAUAACCAAGCCAGAUAGGCAUUGCUCAUGAGCACAGAGCAAGGUUGGCUUUGUGAGGGACAGAAAAAAAUGAAGGAAGGAAGGGAAAGAAGCAGGAAGGAGGAAAGGAGGAGGGAGUGGAGAUGAUGAGAGGUGGAGGGAAGGAGACAGGGAGGGAGGGAAAGAAGGAGGGAGGGAGUGGAGAUGAUGAAGGAGGAAGGGAGGGGGAGGGGAAGGAGGAAGGGGAGGGGAGAAGGAUGGUUGGACAGAGGGAGGUAGGGAGGGAUAGAGGGAUGAAGGGAUGGAGAGUCUGAUGCUGAAAGCUCACUUAUCAUCCGCUUCAUAUUCUGAGUGUGAAAAUGAGUGUGAAAGUGACCAUGGGCUGUUCAGGUUACCCCUUUUGUGAUCUAUGAACCACAGAGUCUGUACUUGCAUCAGAAUGUGGAGUAAGUGAUGUGUUAUUGUGCAUUAAACAGACCAGUUUCUAUCAGUGGCUCAACUGUUCCCACUGUUCUGUAUGUCUUUAUGAAAGUGUCACUGGCACACACACACACGCACACACGCACACACACACACACACACACACACGCACACACGCACACACACACACACGCACACACACACACGCACACACACACACGCACACACGCACACACACACACGCACACACGCACACACGCACACACGCACACACGCGCACACACGCACACACGCACACACGCACACACGCACACACACGCACACACGCACACACGCACACACGCACACACGCACACACGCACACACGCACACACGCACACACGCACACACACGCACACACACACACACACACACGCACACACGCACACACACGCACACACACAGAGAGGGGGGGGGAUUUCCUCCAUGGCCUGUAGGAGGUGAGGACAAUUGACACAUGAUGUAACCAAUGCCGCAUGCUGCAGUAAGCCAGGCCAUGCCAGAUCUAACAGCCAGGCAUGCACUGUGCCCCUUUGUGACCCAAACAGGUCAAGGCAUCUCUGAGCCACCAUAAGGACAGAGGUAAUGUUUAACUGGCAAAAUUAAGGCAUAACUGAAUUGAUAAAGCUAAAGGUCUUGACUCUCCCAUGCAGCUCACCUCUAGGCUGUCUCCAGCCUUCCCCAAAUGCAACAGCCCGUGUGACUUAGAGGACCCCCACUGUGCACACAGAGCCCGAAUCAUCAAACAUGCCUAUUAAAGAAAGACUGGAACUUUCACAGGCAGAAGGAAGAGAUCCAGGUAUUUCAGGCUUGGGAUAGAGGGAACUGUAGCCUAGGAACUUCUAGACUUGCUAUGGCAGAGCCCUGAGCCACAUGAGAGAACCAAUUUUAGAUGAGUGUAGAGUUGAAAUGGCUCCUGUCACUGUGGAAAUUAAAUCAGGAUUUUCAAGAGGAGAUUAAAGCCAGUAAUUUUUAAACAGUUAGCUAAUUUGAUAUAUCAAGGUGAAACUGGACCAGUGAUGGGUGUUUAGGGGAGGAUGUGACAGGUCUGCCUUUGAUAGCCUUGAAGGGCUUGGCUGGAAGACUGGUAGUGAGAGUAACUUUUUAAAAGAAAGAAACAGUAAGUAUGGGGUACAGAGAGAAAGGACCAAAAAGGAGAGGCUAGAAGCAAGUGCAGUAAAGAGGUCCUAGAAUAUGCCAGAGCCGCACACAUGAAAGACAGGAAGAGCUAACUGAAUAGUUAGACAUGCGUGUCCAAGCUCAGAAGAAAUUGCUGCAGAAAAGAUAACAAAUUUAAGUUUUAGCUGCAUUGAUCCGUCAAGAAUCCACUCUCAUAGAAGCUAGAAGUUUGAGAAGUGAAGGUUAAAGAUUUUUAAGAGUUUAAAAUUAGCAACACAUACUCACACUUUCAUACAUACUCACACACACACAUAUACAUAUACUCACACUUUCAUACAUACACACACAAACAUAUACCCACACUUUCAUACAUACACACAUAUACAUGUGCACACUCACACACAGAGUCACACUCACACAUAAGUGCACUCACACACAUAUGCACACUCAUGCGUGUGCGCGCACACACAUACACACACAAGCACACACACAUAUAUAUUUAGAACAGGAUCAAGCAGGUAGAAGUGAAAGAACUGAGAAAGUGACAUUUUCAUUCUUUUUGCAAUGUCGGUGGCAUGGCACUGUGAAUUGAGUGUCAUAGGAUAAUUUCUUGUCAGUUCUCACCUUCCAGGUAUGUACUGAGAAUCACACUCAAUUCCAUGUGGGUCCUUAGGUUCACACUCAGGUCUUCAGGCUUGGUGGUAAGCCCUUUACCCUCUAAGCAGCCUGGCAAAACCAACAGUGAGAUCGUUAUAUGAUUAUAUGUUAAGACUAAGGCUGGCUGACACACUUGCCUGCAAGUCCGUUGUACCUAAUGAGCAGCCAUCUGGAUUAUAUGGAGCCAGUCUUAGGAAGGCACUAUGGAAAACAGUACUAAAUAAUAUGGAAUUAUGCGAAAAAAUGGUGAAUGAGGACCAUUAUGAUCUAUCUAACUUUUUUCCUGCCUCCUUGAAUUACAAAUCGAAGAUAUACAUCAAGACAUUUUGUAGAUGGAGGAACUGGGGGAACUUGUGGGGUAGCUGACAGUCAGGCAAAGUGAAAGAGGGGCUCCGGUGUCCUGGCUGUCACAGUCUUGUGCUUUUUGGGGUCUGCCUCUUGGACUUGCCCCAUCCACAUCCUCCAUGAUGCCAUUCUUUUCCCACUGUUUGAUACAGAGCGUGUGCUAUAUCCUCCCUUGGGGACCUGUCAUGGCGGAGUGACAGACAGUAACGCUGCCUCUUUACAGCCAAGCGUGGCUUUAUUAAGGAUGCUCUAAAAGCUUGUCCUCACAAACAUGGCUUCUGAGUCUCACCCUGCUUUAUCCUUCUGAAUCUGCACUUCCUUUUAAGUGAUUAAUUAAUUCUGCAAUAUUCACAAAAUAGACAGGGCCACCUGCCCAUAUGGCCUUGACAUUUCCGUUCCUGUGAUGCAAUCAAUCCUUUAUAAUCACCUUCUAAAAACUAUUGAAGCAAGACACCAUUUUCUGUAAACCUCACUCACCUUUACAACCACACAAUUGCAACAGCUACGUCUGCAGCCAAUGUAAGCCGAAACAGCUGGCUUUGAAAGUAUAGGAAAGUGAUAUAAAUAUUUUGGACGAUAGAACAUAAAUACCUAAAAGGAACAGUCAUUUGAGAUCUUAAACAUGUCACGAAAUCCUUAUGAAGUCAGAAGUCUCAGUGUGGCUCUAGGUUUCUUCUGAUAAGAAAUACCUUAGAAAAUGCCAGGGAGAGAAAUAGAGGAAGGACUCAACUCAAACUGAAAUCACUGAGGCUUAAAAGGAAAACUAAAUCUCCUUUCCAAUAUUUCAAAACAGCUACUGUAAACCUUCCCUUUCAGAAGGCUGGAACGUUCCUCACAACUAGGGCAUAAGCAGACUUAGCCAGAGAAGGGCUAGAGAGGCAUAGGAGCUGUGGGGUUCAGAGGAACAGAGGGAGGAGUAUGGUGGGUUCCACAUUAUUUCACUAGCUCUGUUGUUUGCCCUUAUCAGAGUCUUUAAGCCCAUCCCUUCUUGGUUUCCCCAUGGGCCAUUGGGUCAGCAGGUUCUUCUGCAUUGUUUACUGUUUGCUAGGAAGGGAGCAUGGCCUUUCCGGGUUUCUCAGUUUCAGAACGACAAAAAUCAGUUCUUUGUGUGGUAUCAGCAAGCAAAAUGUGUCUGCUGAAACCCCCUUUGUCCUGAGUCAGUGAAGCGUGAAGUCCAGAAAUAUCUGGGUUAACUCAAAGAAACCACAGGCUCUUUUGAAAAUUCCUAAGACCAUUUGGGCCUUUUGCAUCUCCGGGCUCUCUGCAGCUCUGGUCUCCUGCCAACCACCCCUCUCCAUUUGCCUGUCUCUUCUCUGAGCUGUAAGUGCGCUCAACCCAUGCAGUCACCUCCAUCCAGAGGAACAAUGGGAUAGAGGGACAGAGCAUUAGACUACAUGAAGUUCUAGAUUCAACCUAGUUUAGCAAAUCUAAGACAAAAAUAACCAAACUCAAUACCCUCCUGCUUCGCCUCCUUACAUUUUAAUUAACUUUAAUUUUGUUAAAAUAUACAUAUAUAAAAUAUUAAGCACUUUGCAUUGACUGCCUCUUCUGCGUUGUACCUGAUGAAACCUCUGGUUACCCUGCACAAGGCUGGGCCUAUCAACAGCCAACUGUGGGGUACUAAAUGCCCCUGAUGAACUGUUGGCAGCUUGACAGUCUUGGUUGUCACCUUCAAGGAGUGAGCCCACCUGGCUCCUCCAUGUAGCUCUGAAGCUGAGGUUACAGCUUGUAGUCCUGAUGAAAGUAAGUGGGUCCCAAAAUAUAACACAAAGGCAUGGAUAAAAGAAGACCUGUAGAGAGAAGGGGCCGGAGACUAGAGCGGGAGAGAAGCAGGCAAUAGGAGAUGGCAGGAAGAGUAAAUGAAUAUAGGAUCUACUUGUAAAGAAUUGUCAGAGAAGUAAUCCAAUCAAUAAAAAGCAAGCAAGAAACCAAAACACCUGACUCCCUUCACCCACAUGCAUACAGGCUGGUGCUCUUUGCCAGCUCAACAUCAGGAGCCCUCCAGGCCAGCUCUAAGAAUGGGCCUUGCCUUGCUGCUACAGAGGAACUAAGAGUCAGUUAAGUUUGUCCCAGACCUUCUGUGUUUAUUGUCUUCUGUGUUUAUUUGUCUUUGCAAAUUAUGAAAAUCAAUGACUCUCUGACAUGCACACGUGGAAAAGAUAGAUACUGCUUCUCUAAAUAUGUUUGAAGAGAUUUAUGAAGUUGGACUACCAAAAGCUAUAGGAUUAAAUGUCAAGAAGAGAAUGGUAAAUUAUUCAGUGGGUGGGGGAGUAAAUCUAAAAUAGUUCUGCUUUGUGCUUUUAAGUUCUUGGCACACUUCAGAGGGACUGAAGCAGGGACAUGAGGGGAUGACCUCAAGUUUGGACUGUUUAAGAAAGUUCAGGUCUGGAAACUUAUGGCUUUACCCCCACAGUAUUGUUGUGCAAUUUCUCUGAUGUAAAAUACAGGUCCACCAAAAGCAUUGAGCAGCAUGCCUGAUAUUUAAUAACAGCUGGCCUCUGUUAUCGUGGCUAUUAUUGAUCAAAUAAUUGUAUAUUCAGUCAUUUAAAAAAAAUGGAAGAAGUUAUAUCAAGAUCACAUCAGUAUGUGAAAAGAAAGCAUCAGGAUACACUUUUAAAUCGAUCAAAUAAACAUCAGACAGCGAGGGACCUACACGUUGCUACUAUUACCCCUUCAUUUCUUUUGCAUCAAAUAAACAUUCUCAAAAUUAAAGAAUGUUAAUAGUUACAUUUCUGAGCAACUUAGCUGAAAAGGCCAAACCUGGCUCAUUAUUAAGAACAAGGCUUUGAGGACUGGCAAAUGGCUCAGCUCAAAGCCCAUGUUGCGGAGGUUCUGGGCUUAGUUCUUAGCACCAUGGCUAGUGGUCACGCCCACCCGUGAUUAGUUCUCAGCACCAUGGCUAAUGGUCACACCCACCCGUGAUUCUAGCUCCAGAAGUUCUGAGAUUUCUGGCCUCCAUGACUGCCGGUUCAUGUAUAGACACUCAUAGCUCAUAUGACAGCUUGAGAAAUCCACAGGUAAUCUGCUUCAAUUGUGACAAAUGGCUGCAUGACCUUAGGAAGCUGUCUAACCUUUUCUGUCUUUGUCUCUUCUGUGGUGGGGUUGGUGACUAAUGACUUCAUUAAUGUACCAUGUGGCUAAGAGAUUACUUUGAGUUCUUCGAAGAGAAAAAAAAAAAACGCCAUUGCAUUUGCUUCUCUUGUCCGAGAAUGAGCUUUUCUGUGGCCCAUCACAGUUCUCAAAUUCAUUAAGAUCUCUCUCUACUCCUCCAGAUAAGGACUGGUGAAGUACUAAUUAUUUGAAAUGAUUUUUCCAUCAUAACAAUGAAAAUAUUCACUUGCUGUGGCCUUAACAUCUCGUUUCAAAAGGUUCAGCUUACUGUACACAAAUGAUUCCGAUUAAAUAAUGGGAACAACAGAGAAAAAUCCUGUUUGGAUCCAUUGUGUAUGCCACCAACUAAGCUUAAUACCAUAUUCACUUGUAGACAAAAUAUAAACCAUGCAUUCCCCAAGCAUUGAUGGCAUACACCUUUAAUCUCAGCACUCAGGAAGCAGAGAUAAUUUGAGAUCAGCCUGGCCUACAGAGUGAGUUCCAGGAGAGCCAGGGCUAUACAGAGAGACCCUACAAUAACAACAGCAACAAAAACAUGCAUUUUACAAGAGAACAAAUGGAAAGAUACUCAUAAUAUUUAACAAAUAUUCAUUUAGCUAGUAAGUCCAUGUGGACUGAACACAACCCCUAGACCAUUAAUACACCAAUAUACAAGUAACAGGAGAGAGCGUAUAUCAGCAACUUGACAGCACACCUAAAAGCUCUAUAACAAAAAGAAGUAACUACACCCAGGAAGAGUAGAAGGCAGGAAAUAAUCAAACUCAGAGCUGAAAUCAACCAAAUAGAAACAAAAAGGACUAUACAAAGAAUCAACAGAAGAGUGAGUAUUGCUUUAUCAAAGGACCAGAGUUUGGAUGCCAGCACCCACAUCAGGGGGAUCACAAAUAUCUGUAACUCCAGCUUCAAGAAAUAUGAUGCCUCCCUUGUGGUCUCCAUGGGUACCUGCAUACACACACAUGUGCACACGCACACACACACACACACAUUCACACAUGCACACAUAAAGGUAAUAGUAAAGAGAGGUAAAAAAUGAUUUAGAAGUUAGAAGUGGCCAAAGCUUUGAAAAGCCCUACACUCUACUAUUGUCAUUAGGAUAUAAGAGUAAACAUUUUCCCCUUGAAGACAGUUUGCAAAACUUUUUAUCAGAUCUUUGAAGAUACAGAGCUCUCAAAAGUUCAAUUUAAUUCCACAUACAAAUGCUUGGCACUAAAUCAGAUCUGAAAAACUUAUAAGUAGGAGUAAAACCGGAUCAUCCCAACAUUCAGCAACAAUACAAUGUAGAAUUUGAACAUUAUCUAACGAAUAUCGUUCCAUCCGGGAUGUGUGGGGAAACAAAGUAGGCUCGAGAAGAGGAUAAAGUCCUGGGGUGAAUUCCUUAAUGUCAGGUUUCUAGAUUCACUCAAAAACAAAUGACUGUUGGCCUUGUGCUUCAUUUCUAUUCCAGCUAUUGAUAAAAUAGAGAGAAGCACAUGCCGUGUCCGCAUCCUUAUAAAAAUGACAUUUUCAUAUGAGCCAUACAUCUUGAAUACAGUGCUUAUUGAGAACAAGUCAUCAUGAAAUCAGCAUGCAAAUUACCAGAGCCUCAUCAGAGAUAAAGGAGGAGAUGCACUUGACACUUGAGGAGCUCCCUUUCUGCAAUACUUUAAUUUGUUCCCUCAUUGAGUGGUGGUGCACAUAAAUGAUGCUAGUAUGCUUGGGGAUGUACAGAGUAGACGUGGUGGUGUGGUCUGAAUAGAGUUCUCAUGACCAAGUGAAGAAACCUUGACCCCUGGCGUGCUGCUGUUACACAGAUGAGCAGGUAAAGUCGAGUUACAAUUACACUAAAGUAGGUGGGAGCGGCGGGUUGACAUAUCAGGUUCCAACAGUGAGGAUCAGCUGUACCGAAGUACUAUAACUUAUUGAUGAGGUACAUAAAUGACUUAUAAAUGCCUUCAUCUAACAUGCAGAAAUUGCUAAAUCAGUGGAACUGCUGAUACCUUACAGGAGGAAAGCUCAAAACAGUGAAACUCAGAAUGGCUCCGAAAGCCAGAAAUUCACCUCGCUGAUGCAAGUAUACUCUGCGAUAUUUUUAAACAAAUGAAAUUUGGUGAAAGGCUGAUUAAAAAGAUAAGAGCAACAAGGAUUUGUGGUCUCAAUUAGGGCAAGGAAAAGCAAUAUUAUAAAUGAAUCACACUGGCAGCAGGUUAUUUAAAUGGAACAGAACAAGGCAGAGACUUAAUAUUCCUAGCAUGUUUUAAGUCACAGCACUCAAGUACAUAUUCACAUUUGAACAAAUUAAUUUUGAAAGAUAUUUUUAUGCAUUCAGAGGGAAAAACUUUUUAUAUUGGGAUGCCAAAUAUAUAGUGCAUAAACAGUAUAGCAUAUAUUUUAAAUAUAAUUGAUACCAUGUAAGAAACUUGGUAUCAUAUAGAAUAUAUUAUAAUAAAGAAAGUGCAAUGUAUGCAUGAGGUAUUAAGGAAGAAUUAGAACUCUGUAGGAGAAUAAGAAAGCUCGCAGUCCCGAGACUUGCUGGACAAGGCUCUGCUGUCCCAUGGAUUAGUGAACAUAUAGUUAUGCUACAUUUCAGCAACUCCAUCUGGCAGAAGAGGCUCUUCUUCGUCAUUAAGAUGAAGAGAGCUUUCUCAAAACUCUUCUCUGCAGAGCACGCUCCCACUGGUUCUGGAUGAUGUAUAUGACCACGAGUUACUUUUCUUGAAAUCCAUAGCCCCUUAGAUAUCACCUCAUUUUCUCCUCCAAGUCUUGAAAACAAAGGUGUCCAAUACUGAACCACAGACCCUCAACUACUAGCAAAUGAAUCUGACAUACUUACCUGUGGGUCUCUUCCUGUUCCUCACCUAUACUUAUCCUAACUAUUCAGUUCUAUGCAAGGUGAUUUCUAUGAAAAUUUAUUAUUUAAAUUUUUCAUUCAAUAUGUUUUGAUUAUACUCUUUCCCUUUUCCAAACUCUUCCUUGAUACUCUCUGCCUCCCAACCCACCUACUUUCCCUCUCUUUCUCCAUCCCUUCCCUCCCCUCAAAAGGAAGUCAAACAUCCAAAAAAAAUCUCUAGGCCAAAACAAAAAUCUGUGUGUGACAAAGUUUGAAAGUAAUGGCAGAUUUCUUAAGUUACCAGAAACACAGGGGGUGACAAGCUUUGUUUAAUGACUCCCUCCCCAGUACCAUCCCUAUUAUAAGUCAACCAUCAAAGACUUGGGGUCAUUUUCGUGUGGAAAAUUGUGUAAAUAUCUUUGGCUGUGGUACUGUUAAACAAUCCCAUAACUCCUAACGAAAUAGAAGCAGUCAUUAAAAGUCUCUCAAACAAAAAGAGCCCAUGUCCAGAUGGGUUCAGUGCAGAAUUCUAUCAGACCUUCAUAGAAGACCUCAUACCAAUACUAUCCAAACUAUUCCACAAAAUUGAAACAGAUGGAGCACUACCGAAUUCCUUCUAUGAAGCCACAAUUACUCUUAUACCUAAACCACACAAAGACCCAACAAAGAAAGAGAACUUCAGACCAAUUUCCCUUAUGAAUAUUGAUGCAAAAAUGCUCAAUAAAAUUCUUGCAAACCAAAUCCAAGAACACAUCAAAACAAUCAUCAUGAUGAAGUAGGCUUCAUCCCAGGUGUGCAGGGAUGGUUUAAUAUACAGAGAACCAUCAACAUAAUCCACUAUAUAAACGAACUCAAAGAUAAAAACCACAUGAUCAUUUCACUAGAUGCUGAGAAGGAAUUGACAAAAUUCAACACCCCUUCAUGAUAAAAGUCCUGGAAAAAACAGGAAUUCAAGGCCCAUACCUAAACAUAGUAAAAGCCAUAUACAGCAAACAAGUAGCUAAAUGGAGAGAAACUUGAAGCAAUCCCACUAAAAUCAGGGACUAAACAAGGCUGCCCACUCUCUCCCUACUUAUUCAAUAUAGUUCUCGAAGUCCUAACCAGAGCAAUCAGACAACAAAGGGAGGUCAAAGGGAUACAAAUCAGAGGGAAGAAGUCAAAAUAUCACUAGUUGCAGAUUAUAUGAUAGUAUACUUAAGUGACCCCAAAAGUUCCACCAGAGAAAUACUAAGCCUGAUAAACAAUUCCAGCAAAGUGGCUGUGUAUAAAACUAACUCAAGGGAGUUGGGGAUUUAGCUCAGUGGUAGAGCGCUUGCCUUCCCUGGGUUCAGUCCCCAGCUCCGAAAAAAAGAAAAAAGAAAAAAAACCUUCCCCUGUACAAAUAUGUACAGUAAUGUGUCAAUUAUAAAACUAACUCAGACAAAUCAGUAGCCUUCUUCUACACAAAAGAUAAACAGGCUGAGAAAGAAAUUAGGAAAAUGACAACCUUCAUAAUAGUACCAAAUAAUAUACCUCAGUGUGAUGUUAACCAAGCAAGUGAAAGAUCUGUAUGAUAAGAACUUCAAGUCUCUGAAUAAAGAAAUUGAAAGAUGGAAAUCAGAAGAUGGAAAGAUCUCCCCAUGCUCAUGGAUUAGUAGGAUUAAUAUAGUAAAAAUGGUCAUUUUACCAAAGUGAUCUACACAUUAAAUGCAAUCCCCAUCAAAUUUCCAAUCCAAUUCUUCAUAGAGUUAGAUAGAAUAUUUGCAAAUUCAUCUGGAAUAACAAAAAACCCAGGAUAGCUAAAACUAUCCUCAACAAUAAAAGGAUUUCUGGGGGAAUCACCAUCCUUGACCUCAUCAGUAUUACAGAGCAAUAGUGAUAAAAACUGUAUGGUAUUGGUACAGAGACAGGCAGAUAGACCAGUGGAAUAGAACUGAAGAUGUAGAAAUGAACACAUACACCUAUGAUCACCUGAUUUUUAUCAAAGGAGCCAAAACCAUCCAAUGGAAAAAAAAUAUAGCAUUUUCACCAAAUGGUGUUGGUUCAACUAAAGGUCAGCAUGUAGAAGAAUGCAGAUCAAUCCAUUCUUAUCGCCCUGUACAAAGCUUAAGUCCAGGUGGAUAAAGGACCUCCAUAUCAAACCAGAUACACUCAAAAUUAUAGAAUAAAAAGUGGGGAAGCAUCUCGAACACAUGGGCACUGGAGAAAAUUUCCUGAACAAAACACCAAUGGCUUAUGCUCUAAGAUCAAGAAUCGACAAAUGGGAUCUCAUAAAACUUCAAAGCUACUGUAAGGCAAAGGACACUGUCGUUAGGACAAAACAGCAACCAACAGCUUGGGAAAAGAUGUUUACCAAUCCUACAACAGAUAGAGGGCUUAUAUCCAAAAUAUACAAAGAACUCAAGAAGUUAGACUGCAGGGAGACAAAUAACCCUAUUAAAAGCUACACAAGCUACAAAGCUAAACAAAGAAUUCACAGCUGAGGAAUAUCGAAUGGUUGAGAAGCACCUAAAGAAAUGUUCAACCUCUUUAGUCAUAAGGGAAAUGCAAAUCAAAACAACCCUGAGAUUCCACCUCACACCAGUCAGUAUGGCUAAGAUCAAAAACUCAGGCGACAGCAGAUGCUGGUGAGGAUGUAGAGAAAGAGGAACACUCCUCCAUGGUUGGUGGGAUUGCAGACUGGUACAACCACUCUGGAAAUCAGUCUGCAGGUUCCUCAGAAAAUUGGACAUUGCACUACCUGAAGACCGAGCUAUACCUCUCUUGGGCAUAUACCCAAAAGAUGCCCCAACAUAUAACAAAGACACAUGCUCCACUAUGUUCAAACCCAGAUGCCCUUCAAUGGAAGAAUGGAUACAGAAAAUGUGGUAAUCUACAAAAUGGAGUACUACUGAGCUAUCAAAAACAAUGACUUCAUGAAAUGCAUAGGCAAAUGGAAUGAACUAGAAAAUAUCCUGAAUGAGGUAAUCCAAUCACAGAAAAACACGCAUGGUAUACAUUCAUUGAUAAGUGGAUAUAAGCCCAAAUGCUCGAAUUACCCAAGGUACACAGACCACAUGAAACUCAAGAAAGAUGACCAAAAUGCAGAUGCUUCACUCCUUCUUUAAAAGGGGAACAAAAAUACCCAUAGGAGGGGAUAGGGAGGCAAAGUUUAGAACUGAGACUGAAGGAUCGGCCAUUCAGAGCCUUCCCCACAUGUGGCCCAUACAUAUACAGCCACCAAACUAGAUAAAAUGGAUGAAGCUAAGAAGUACAGUCUGACAGGAACUGGAUGUAGACUCUCCUGAGAGACACAGCCAGAAUACAGCAAAUACAGAGGCGAAUGCCAGCAGCAAACCACUGAACUGAGAACGGGACCCCCAUUGGAGGAAUCACAGAAAGGACCAAAAGAGCUGAAAGGGCUUGAGACGCCAUAAGAACAACAAUACCAACCAACCAGAGCUUCCAGGGACUAAGCCACUACCCAAAGACUAUACAUGGACUGACCCUGGGCUCCAACCUCAUAGGUAGCAAUGAAUAUCCUAGUAAGAGCACCAGUGGAAGGGGAAGCUCUUGGUCCUGCCAAUGCUGGACCCCCAGUGUAUGGGAUCGUUGGAGGGGCGGUAAUGUGUGGUGGAUGGAGAGGGGAACACCCAUAUAGAAGAAGAAGGGGAGGGGUUAGGGGGAUGAUAGCCUGGAAACUGGGAAAGGGAAUAACAUUUGAAAUGUAAAUAAGAAAUACCCAAUUUAAUAAAAAUGGAAGAAAAAAAAAGAAA